rnacentral:rRNA from 1 species
AGGGAAUCUUCCACAAUGGACGAAAGUCUGAUGGAGCAACGCCGCGUGAGUGAUGAAGGUUUUCGGAUCGUAAAACUCUGUUGUAAGGGAAGAACAAGUACGUUAGGAAAUGAACGUACCUUGACGGUACCUUAUUAGAAAGCCACGGCUAACUACGUGCCAGCAGCCGCGGUAAUACGUAGGUGGCAAGCGUUGUCCGGAUUUAUUGGGCGUAAAGCGCGCGCAGGUGGUUUCUUAAGUCUGAUGUGAAAGCCCACGGCUCAACCGUGGAGGGUCAUUGGAAACUGGGGAACUUGAGUGCAGAAGAGGAUAGUGGAAUUCCAAGUGUAGCGGUGAAAUGCGUAGAGAUUUGGAGGAACACCAGUGGCGAAGGCGACUGUCUGGUCUGUAACUGACACUGAGGCGCGAAAGCGUGGGGAGCAAAC